CGUAGGCGGUUCGUUAAGUCCUGUGUGAAAUCCCCCGGCUCAACUGGGGAACGGCACAGGAAACUGGCGGGCUUGAGUUCGGGAGAGGGAAGCGGAAUUCCGGGUGUAGCGGUGAAAUGCGUAGAUAUCCGGAGGAACACCGGUGGCGAAGGCGGCUUCCUGGACCGACACUGACUCUGAGGCGCGAAAGCUAGGGGAGCAAACG
rnacentral:rRNA from 1 species